CCUACGGGUGGCAGCAGUGGGGAAUAUUGCACAAUGGGGGAAACCCUGAUGCAGCGACGCCGCGUGAGUGAAGAAGCGCCUCGGCGCGUAAAGCUCUGUCAGCAGGAACGACGAUGACGGUACCUGAAGAAGAAGCCCCGUCUAACUACGUGCCAGCAGCCGCGGUAACACGUAGGGGGCCAGCGUUAUCCGGAUUUACUGGGUGUAAAGGGAGCGUAGGCGGCAGUGCAAGUCAGCAGUGAAAGCCCAAGGCUCAACCAUGGGACUGCUUUUGAAACUGUACAGCUAGAUUGCAGGAGAGGUAAGUGGAAUUCCUAGUGUAGCGGUGAAAUGCGUAGAUAUUAGGAGGAACACCAGUGGCGAAGGCAGCUUACUGGACUGUAAAUGACGCUGAGGCUCGAAAGCGCGGGGAGCAAACAGGAUUAGAUACCCUUGUAGUC
rnacentral:rRNA from 1 species